rnacentral:rRNA from 1 species
UGGGGAAUAUUGGACAAUGGGGGGAACCCUGAUCCAGCCAUGCCGCGUGUGUGAAGAAGGCCUUAUGGUUGUAAAGCACUUUAAGCGAGGAGGAGGGUACUGGUAUUAAUACUACCAGCUACUGGACGUUACUCGCAGAAUAAGCACCGGCUAACUCUGUGCCAGCAGCCGCGGUAAUACAGAGGGUGCGAGCGUUAAUCGGAUUUACUGGGCGUAAAGCGUGCGUAGGCGGCUAAUUGAGUCGGAUGUGAAAUCCCCGAGCUUAACUUGGGAAUUGCAUUCGAUACUGGUUAGCUAGAGUGUGGGAGAGGAUGGUAGAAUUCCAGGUGUAGCGGUGAAAUGCGUAGAGAUCUGGAGGAAUACCGAUGGCGAAGGCAGCCAUCUGGCCUAACACUGACGCUGGGGUACGAAAGCAUGGGGAGCAAACAGG